UUCCCGGUGGUCUGGUGGUAAGGACUCUGCACUUUCAAUGCAGGGGCCAUGGGUUUGAUCCCUGGUUGAGGAA
rnacentral:tRNA from 1 species